rnacentral:rRNA from 1 species
UGGGGAAUUUUGGACAAUGGGCGAAAGCCUGAUCCAGCAAUGCCGCGUGUGUGAAGAAGGCCUUCGGGUUGUAAAGCACUUUUGUCCGGAAAGAAAUCCUUGGCUCUAAUACAGUCGGGGGGAUGACGGUACCGGAAGAAUAAGCACCGGCUAACUACGUGCCAGCAGCCGCGGUAAUACGUAGGGUGCAAGCGUUAAUCGGAAUUACUGGGCGUAAAGCGUGCGCAGGCGGUUUGCUAAGACCGAUGUGAAAUCCCCGGGCUCAACCUGGGAACUGCAUUGGUGACUGGCAGGCUAGAGUAUGGCAGAGGGGGGUAGAAUUCCACGUGUAGCAGUGAAAUGCGUAGAGAUGUGGAGGAAUACCGAUGGCGAAGGCAGCCCCCCUGGGCCAAUACUGACGCUCAUGCACGAAAGCGUGGGGAGCAAACAGGAUUAGAUACCCUGGUAGUCCACGCCCUAAACGAUGUCAACUAGUUGUUGGGGAUUCAUUUCCUAGUAACGUAGCUAACGCGUGAAGUUGACCGCCUGGGGGAGUACGGUCGCAAGAUUAAAACUCAAAUGAAUUGACGGGGUCAUA